rnacentral:lncRNA from 1 species
UAGAAGUCAGGUCGGAUUAAGCCAUAGUACGGAAAAAACUAUGCUACCUGUGAGCCCCGUCCAAGGACGUUAAAAGAAGUCAGGCCACUACAAGUGCCAUAGCUUGAGCAAACUAUGCAGCCUGUAGCUCCACCUGGGAAGGUGUAAAAAAUCUGGGAGGCCACAAACCAUGGAAGCUGUACGCAUGGCGUAGUGGACUAGCGGUUAGAGGAGACCCCUCCCUUGCAAGUCGCAGCAACAAUGGGGGCCCAAGGUGAGAU